AGAACGAACGCUGGCGGCAUGCUUAACACAUGCAAGUCGAACGAACCCUUCGGGGUUAGUGGCGCACGGGUGCGUAACGCGUGGGAAUCUGCCCUUUGCUACGGAAUAACAGUGAGAAAUUACUGCUAAUACCGUAUGAUGUCGAAAGACCAAAGAUUUAUCGGCAAGGGAUGAGCCCGCGUAGGAUUAGCUUGUUGGUGAGGUAAAGCUCACCAAGGCGACGAUCCUUAGCUGGUCUGAGAGGAUGAUCAGCCACACGUGGGACUGAGACACGGCCCAGACCUCCUACGGGAGCAGCGAGUAGGGAA
rnacentral:rRNA from 1 species